GACGAACGCUGGCGGCGCGCUUAACACAUGCAAGUCGAGCGAGAACCAGACCUUCGGGUCUGGGGACAGCGGCGAACGGGUGAGUAACACGUGGGUAAUCAACCCUCGGUACUGCGAUAGCCCGGGGAAACCCGGAUUAAUACCGGAUGGCCCUUCGCAUCUUCGGUUCCGCAGGAAAAGGUAGCUUCGGCCCCCGACCGCGGCCGACCCCCCGGCGGAUGAGCUUGUUGGUGGGGUAACGGCCUACCAAGGCGGCGAUCCGUAGCUGGUCUGAGAGGACGAUCAGCCACACUGGGACUGAGACACGGCCCAGACUUCUACGGAAGGCAGCAGUGGGGAAUCUUGCGCUAAUGCGGGAAACCGUGACGCAGCGACGCCGCGUGAGGGAAGAAGGCCUUCGGGUUGUAAACCUCUUUCAGAAGGGACGAAGCUACUCGGGUUAAUAGCCCAGAGGGUGACGAUACCUUCAGAAGAAGCCCCGGCUAACUACGUGCCAGCCGCCGCCGUAA
rnacentral:rRNA from 1 species